UUACUGUUUAGUAUUCGAGUAUGUUAAUAUUAUGUUUUAUUAAAGUUUUAAAAACUUGUUUAUGUUUAUUGAUUAAUAUAAUUUUUAAGCGUUUAAUUUGCCUGGUAUCAAAAAUAUCAGAUUCCAAAUAUAACACCAAUUUCACCUAAAUUAAUGACGAUAAUUUGAAUGUCGAUGAUUUUGUUAUUCUUGAUGAAGACAAUGAGAAUGGAUCUUUGAAAAGGAGAUUGAUAUCGGUUGUUUGGAACCAUUUUAAGAAGAAAAAAAUAAAUGAAGUAGACAAGGCGGUUUGUAAUUCUUGCAAAUGAUAUUAAGAUAUGCCCCUAUAAAGGACAAACAAUUCCUAUUGAUCUUGCAAAUGAUAUUAAGAUAUGCUCCUAUAAAGGACAAAUAAUUCCUAUUGAAUCCUAACAGAGAGAAAAACAACACAUUGGGUUUAUAUAACUUCGAUCAAGAAGCUGCAAAAAGAGUAUUAGCUAGAAUGAUAAUCAAACAUGAAUAUCCCAUCUCAAUAGUUGAGCAUUAUGAUUUUAGGGAAUUUUGUAAUGUCAUCCAACUAUUAUUUAAGAUGGUGUCAAGAAACACAUAAAGAAGGAAAUUUUGAAAAUUUACGAGAUUGAGAAAUUGAAAAAUUGAAAACCAUGACAUUGUUGAAAGAGAUCUUGCCCUUACAAUAAACAUGUGGACUCCAAACCAUCAAACAAAAAGUUAAUGGUUGUCAUUGCACAUUUUGUUGAUGAUAGUUGGGUUUUGUAAAACAAAAUAAUUAGGUACAUCUAUUUAACAUUCUAGAAUAUUUCAUUUCUAUUUAUUUGUACGUAGAUUGAUUUUAGUUUUCCAUAUAUGUGUUAUGUUAGGUUUAUAUAUGUCUCUUCUCUACACACUUAUGAGAUACUUCACGAAGAAGUAAUGGAAUGUCUCUUAGAUUGAAAUAUUGAUUGAAAAUUGUCAUCUAUAAUCGUAGACUAUUGUAGUACAAAUGAUUCAUAGUUAAUAUGCUUGUUGAUAGUUUGUCUGGAAACUUAAUCUUUGAUGGGAGUUUAUUUCAUGUGUGGUGUUGUGCUUAUAUUCUGAAUUUAAUUUUGAAAAAAUGAGUUGGCAAUGAUAGGAGAUGGGAUUGAAAGAGUUUGUAGUAGCAUGGGUUUUUUAGUACAUACACAAAGAGAGAAAUUUGAGGAAACUACUCGUCAGUUGAAGUUUAUGAUGAUAGGAUGUUGAGUUUUGAUUGUCGUAUCAGGUGGAAUUCUACAUUUUAUGUUAGCCACUACAUUGAAGUACAAGAUUUUUUUUUUAUCAAUUAAAACAAUGAGAAUCAAAGUACAAGUGUUUGCCUUUGGAUUAAGAUCAAGUAUUAGCAAAAGAGAUGUGAGAAAUUGAAAAUAUUUCAUCAAGUAGAAAUAUGUUAUGGAUCCUAUUGCAAAUCUUUUUUCCCCCAAAGAAAUUGUAAACUGAAGUUGGCUAUUUCUAAAUGGACGAAUUUUAGCUUUCAAGAGGCAAGAGACAUGGCUUCAAAUAUGAUUUCAAAGUUCGAUAAAUAUUGGAAGAAAAUCGAUGAAUGGCUAUAACUGCGAGUUCUAUUUCCCUAUAAUUUAUGGAGAUACUUUUUCCCUUGAGUUUGGAAAGGAUUAAACAAUUUUGUUUAGAUUUUGAGAAAGAAUAUCAGUUGAAGCAUGAUAGGGAAGAUGAUGAUUCUCACUCUAAAAAUUUAGAUGCAGCAUCAAAGAAUAUAGAAUUUAAUGAUUUUAAUGAUUAUGAUUUGUUUGUAUCAAAUUCCAAUAAGAUGAAUUAGAAGCAAUACUUUGAUGCAUAUUUAGAUGAACCUGUCUUACCCGAUCAUCUGAUUUUGACAUGUUGUGGUGGUGAAAAUUGAAUGGGAUCAGGUAUCCCAUUUUACAAGAAAUUGUUAGAGACAUAUUAGUCAUCUCGUUAUCUAGUAUUGCAGAUGCUUUUAAUACCUGUGGUAGGAUUGUAAGUCCAUAUUGUAGCAAACUUCAUCCGAAGACAAUAGAAGCUUUAUUAUGCAUUCAGAAUUGGAUUGCAACUGAAGUUUUUGACAGGUACUAGCAUGGGAAAAAAUUGUUAAACAUUUAGCAACUCUUUUCAAAGAUGCAGAUGACUAUGAUGAAGAUAGAGUAGUGACUGAGUCACAACUAAGGACAAGAUGAUGUUGAGAAAGGAGAUAAACGUAAACAUAAAGGCAUUGAUGAAAAGAGAAAGACGGGCAAGUGUAUAAUUGUGGUUGUUGUAUAAGAUUUUAACUUUAUUUUACUUCAAACUUUUAUUCAAACUUUAUUUGAUAUAAGUUGUAAACUUAUUUCAUGGAUUUGUGAGUUUGGGAAUUAGGUUUAUUUCAUGGAUUUGCUUCUAUUAAAUUUUAUUUAUUUA